GUCAAAUCACAUUGAAACACCAGUUCUCAUAUGAGCACUGAAGUUAAUCAAUGUUAAGCCUGGUUAGUUCCUAGAUGGGUGACUACUUGGUAAUACCAGGUGCUGUAAG